CUUUCGAGGCAGACCAGAUCAAGGAGUGGUGCGUGCAGUACCUCAUCCCAGGAUAAAUCCAGGGAGGCUCUAUGACUCAGGAAUGACUCACUGCUCCUCCUCUGUUCCUUCCAGACUCUUGGGGGUGUGCUAAUUUAUUGUCAGUCUGUAUCUGCAGUCAAUUAUUCCCCCCAGCUCAGCUCUCCUGUGCAGAAGGAAUUCGGGCACGUUCUGCUCAUUCCUCACCUCCAAACAGGAGGUCGUGCUCCAGGGAAAGGCAGAUUCCAGCCUGAAACCAUCCUGAUAUUCCAUGUUCCUGCCUGGGAGACCUGGCUUUGUAUAAAUGGAUUUUGUGGAGUUGUCUCCUUUCAUGGUUUAUUUGUCCUCGAGUGGUUUUGGCAACUCCCUGUCUAGUUUCAAUCAUGCAGGAUGAUCUGCAUCCAUCAUUCCAUGUGCAACAGGCAGCAGAGUGUGGAUGGGUCCUUGAUGUGCCCAGUAAGUAAAACCAGA